GUGGAUUAGAUACCCUGGUAGUCCACGCCGUAAACGUUGGGCACUAGGUGUGGGACUCUAUCGACGGGUUCCGUGCCGUAGCUAACGCAUUAAGUGCCCCGCCUGGGGAGUACGGCCGCAAGGCUAAAACUCAAAGGAAUUGACGGGGGCCCGCACAAGCGGCGGAGCGUGUGGCUUAAUUCGAUGCAACGCGAAGAACCUUACCUGGGCUUGACAUUUUCGGUAAAGCGGGUGAAAGCCCGUGUCCUUCGGGGCCGAAAACAGGUGGUGCACGGCUGUCGACAGCU
rnacentral:rRNA from 1 species